rnacentral:rRNA from 1 species
CGCGGCCUAUCAGCUUGUUGGUGGGGUGAUGGCCUACCAAGGCGACGACGGGUAGCCGGCCUGAGAGGGUGUCCGGCCACACUGGGACUGAGAUACGGCCCAGACUCCUACGGGAGGCAGCAGUGGGGAAUAUUGCACAAUGGGCGCAAGCCUGAUGCAGCGACGCCGCGUGGGGGAUGACGGCCUUCGGGUUGUAAACCUCUUUCACCAUCGGCGAAGCCCGUAGCUUUUGUUGUGGGUGACGGUAGGUGGAGAAGAAGCACCGGCCAACUACGUGCCAGCAGCCGCGGUAAUACGUAGGGUGCGAGCGUUGUCCGGAAUUACUGGGCGUAAAGAGCUCGUAGGUGGUUUGUCGCGUUGUCCGUGAAAUUCCCUGGCUUAACUGGGGACGUGCGGGCGAUACGGGCAGACUGGAGUACUGCAGGGGAGACUGGAAUUCCUGGUGUAGCGGUGGAAUGCGCAGAUAUCAGGAGGAACACCGGUGGCGAAGGCGGGUCUCUGGGCAGUAACUGACGCUGAGGAGCGAAAGCGUGGGGAGCGAACAGGAUUAGAUACCCUGGUAGUCCACGCCGUAAACGGUGGGUACUAGGUGUGGGUUUCCUUCCUUGGGAUCCGUGCCGUAGCUAACGCAUUAAGCGCCCCGCCUGGGGA